UAAAAUAGGACAACUACUUUGUCUUCGUGGC
rnacentral:piRNA from 1 species